rnacentral:rRNA from 1 species
AUUGAACGCUGGCGGCAUGCCUUACACAUGCAAGUCGAACGGCAGCACGGGAGCAAUCCUGGUGGCGAGUGGUGAACGGGUGAGUAAUAUAUCGGAACGUGCCCAGUCGUGGGGGAUAACGCAGCGAAAGCUGUGCUAAUACCGCAUACGAUCUACGGAUGAAAGCGGGGGAUCGCAAGACCUCGCGCGAUUGGAGCGGCCGAUAUCAGAUUAGCUAGUUGGUGAGGUAAAGGCUCACCAAGGCGACGAUCUGUAGCUGGUCUGAGAGGACGACCAGCCACACUGGAACUGAGACACGGUCCAGACUCCUACGGGAGGCAGCAGUGGGGAAUUUUGGACAAUGGACGCAAGUCUGAUCCAGCCAUUCCGCGUGCAGGAUGAAGGCCCUCGGGUUGUAAACUGCUUUUGUACGGAACGAAAAGGUCUCUCUUAAUACGGGGGGCUCAUGACGGUACCGUAAGAAUAAGCACCGGCUAACUACGUGCCAGCAGCCGCGGUAA